UACGAAGGGGGCUAGCGUUGCUCGGAAUCACUGGGCGUAAAGCGCACGUAGGCGGGUCGUUAAGUCAGGGGUGAAAUCCUGGAGCUCAACUCCAGAACUGCCUUUGAUACUGGCGAUCUCGAGUUCGGGAGAGGUGAGUGGAACUGCGAGUGUAGAGGUGAAAUUCGUAGAUAUUCGCAAGAACACCAGUGGCGAAGGCGGCUCACUGGCCCGAUACUGACGCUGAGGUGCGAAAGCGUGGGGAGCGAACAGG
rnacentral:rRNA from 1 species